rnacentral:rRNA from 1 species
GACGAACGCUGGCGGCGUGCUUAACACAUGCAAGUCGUACGGUAAGGCCCUUUCGGGGGUCCACGAGUGGCGAACGGGUGAGUAACACGUGAGUAACCUGCCCACAACUUUGGGAUAACGCUAGGAAACUGGUGCUAAUACUGGAUAUGUGCUCCUGCUGCAUGGUGGGGGUUGGAAAGCUCCGGCGGUUGUGGAUGGACUCGCGGCCUAUCAGCUUGUUGGUGGGGUAGUGGCCUACCAAGGCGGCGACGGGUAGCCGGCCUGAGAGGGUGACCGGCCACAUUGGGACUGAGAUACGGCACAGACUCCUACGGGAGGCAGCAGUGGGGAAUAUUGCACAAUGGGCGCAAGCCUGAUGCAGCAACGCCGCGUGCGGGAUGACGGCCUUCGGGUUGUAAACCGCUUUCAGCAGGGACGAAGCUUUUUGUGACGGUACCUGCAGAAGAAGCACCGGCUAACUACGUG